UACAGAGGGUGCGAGCGUUAAUCGGAAUUACUGGGCGUAAAGCGUGCGUAGACGGUUAUCUAAGUCGGUUGUGAAAUCCCUGGGCUUAACCUGGGAACUGCAGUCGAUACUGAUGGACUAGAGUACGGUAGAGGGUGGCGGAACUCCGGGUGUAGCGGUGAAAUGCGUAGAUAUCCGGAAGAACACCGAUGGCGAAGGCAACCACCUGGGCCUGUACUGACGCUGAGGUACGAAAGCGUGGGGAGCGAACAGG
rnacentral:rRNA from 1 species